GGGGAUCGUAAGACCUCGCGUUAUUGGAGCGGCCGAUGCCGGAUUAGCUAGUUGGUGAGGUAAAAGCUCACCAAGGCGACGAUCCGUAGCUGGUCUGAGAGGACGACCAGCCACACUGGGACUGAGACACGGCCCAGACUCCUACGGGAGGCAGCAGUGGGGAAUUUUGGACAAUGGGCGCAAGCCUGAUCCAGCCAUGCCGCGUGAGUGAAGAAGGCCUUCGGGUUGUAAAGCUCUUUCGCAAGGAAAGAAAACUUAUCUAUUAAUACUAGGUGAGGUUGACGGUACCUUGAUAAGAAGCACCGGCUAACUACGUGCCAGCAGCCGCGGUAAUACGUAGGGUGCGAGCGUUAAUCGGAAUUA
rnacentral:rRNA from 1 species